ensembl:rRNA 5S_rRNA 5S ribosomal RNA
GCUUACGACCACACCGGCCUGAGUACGCCUGAUCUCGUCUGAUCUCGGAAGCUAAGCAGGGUCGGGCCUGGUUAGUACUUGGAUGGGAGACUUCCUGGGAAUACCAGGUGCUGUAAGAU